rnacentral:rRNA from 1 species
AACCGUGCGAAGGUAGCGUAAUCACUUGCCCUUUAAAUGAGGGCUAGUAUGAAUGGCAUCACGAAAGUUGUACUGUCUCCUUCCCCUAAUCAGUGAAACUAAUCUCCCCGUGAAGAAGCGGGGAUACUCCUAUAAGACGAGAAGACCCUAUGGAGCUUUAAACCAAGCAUCAACUGCCGCUAUAAACCUACAAUUCCAGAAAUAUAAUCUGUACGCUAGCAUAGUGUAGUGCUGGUUUUAGGUUGGGGUGACCAUGGAGUAAAAACAAACCUCCAUGUUGAAUCAGGACCUCCUUAAGCAAUAAGCCACAACUUUAUGCAUCAAUAAAUUGACAUUAAUUGACCCAAUUCUUUGAUCAACGAACCAAGUUACCCUAGGGAUAACAGCGCAAUCCAUUUCAAGAGCCCC